rnacentral:rRNA from 1 species
GUCAAUGGCUAUACCACCCUGAACAUACCUGAUCUCAUAAAACUCAGCAGGGUUGGACCUGGUUAGUAUUUGAAUGGGAGAAAUUUGGGGAGAAUUGACA